UGCCAAAUCACCAGAAACCGAGAAACCGCUCCAACCGCCCCGACCCAGGACGGCAACGAAAACACUGCGUCCAGGGCGUGAGAGACGAGAAAAAUCCACAACAUGGGAUGGGGACUACGACCUGACAAUGGCUCGACAUGGAGCGCAGGAAAAACCCAACGCACCCAGGGCGAGCGGACGUGUAAUGUUAAGGCACUAACUACAGAGUGUGUAGACGCACACACCAACACAGUAGCAGCAGCAGCAGAGGGAGACGAUCAUGUGUGAAAUGAGAUCUCCUCAAAAUCAGUGGGAGUCGCGGCCAUAAAGCACAUCAAGCUUUUCAGCUUUAAGAUAAACCCAUUCGAGGACGUCCAAACACGGAGCCGAGUGUGUCCUCAGCCAACAAUCCAACCGACUCUUCAUUCUCUCAACAUGUAAUUUAGACUCAAAACUUGAAGCGCUUGUAAAAAUAUGUCUUUUUUUUUUUACAGUGGCAGAUUAUCUGUGCCAUAUAUCAGCAGAACCACUAAAUCCAAUUCUAUUUAUUCUUCGUCAUUUGCAAUAGAAUUUCAACAAAUCUCCCCCGAGGCCUCCCCAGCGUGUGUGUAUCUCAUCGGCCCCUGCAUUAAUGCGCUAGCAUAAAUCCAGUGUCAUUACAUAUUGUACAAUAUCUCAGAAAAUAUAUUGUUUUCUUCCUUGUACCCCAACAUCUAACUAUAUGCUGAAUUUUAUUUGUAUGCAAACUCCGAGGGGCAAGGACGGCUGUGAUGGCAGACAGGGGAUUUAACCAGCACCUUCCUCAGUCUGAUGGAUGGGUGCUUCACCGCAACCCAGACGGGGGGAAGAGAUAGAUAGAGAGUGGCAGUGAGGACUCAGGUAUUACCAAGAGAAUGUGGGGCAGAAGAAAGGGGAUUGAUGAAUUAACCAGAUAAAGAUAGAGGUUUGCUAGGACAGUGGGAGAUCGGGGUAAAUGUACGAAAGAGGAAACAUUUACAGGGCUCAAUACCACAAGUUCCCAAACAGAGAAGAUGAGUCUUAUGCAAUGUUGCACGAUGACAUUCAAACAUGAUGAUUGUAAAUUCAGCAGUUUUGGGCAAAGUUUCUGUUUGGGUACACUUUCACUCAAAAUGAACAUGGCAGGCAGGCUCUUAAUGAACACGUCCAUGUAGACUGCCAUAUUAAAGACACUCUUCUUUUGGAAGACAAGAUAGCAGUGUUUAAAAUUUUGCUUGCAUGGACGAUGUGAGAGGGUUUUUAACAAAUUCACGAUGAUGAUGUUUUAUUUCUAUUUGAGGAACAGUUUGACAUUCUGCGUCGAUAAGGUCGGUAACUACUCUUCUCAAACAAGGUGCUGUAGCCAGGUGACUUUUAGGAUAAACGGUCCGUGUAUGUUUUAGUCAUUGAAUUUUCAGUUCAGAAACAGAUAUUAAAAACAAAAAAUGAGCGGUUAUUUGAUUUUCAUUUUAAAAUUCAAAAAUUAAAAUUGGCCUCUUGGCCCCCUUUAUCAGGGCUGAGAAGGGAUAAACAAACCUCUAAUUUUAUGCUCUUACUUUGAAAACGGAAACUUCCGGUUGCAAAAUAUAGAGACAGAGCAUGAAAAUGGUCUGGUUUUUAAAGUUUUCUUUGUCCCUUCUUGACCCCGAUAAAGAAAAAUGCCUUGAAUUUCAGUUUUAAUUAUUGAAUUUUAAAAAGAAAAUCAAAUAACCACUUCUGAAUGGAAAAUCAAAUGACCAAAACAUACUUGGUUUGUUUAAUUCAAGUGAAGAUUAGUUUUAGAGGAUGCUAUGUGCAGAUUUGUUCUUGACCAGAUAUAGAGUUCCGUCUUUAUUUGCUGUCCACAGAUUAAACAACGAGAAAAUGUGUGUCACUGAGCUUCCAGUGUGCAUUUUAUUGGUCUUUGUGCUAAACUAAGCCCGUUUCACAUUUAUCAAAAAGAUACGUACAAAAUAAAUCAUUGUAUUUUCCAAAAUACCAAACCAUUCUUCAAGUGAGACGCAAGCUAAUUAGGUCAAUCCGGAGCUAAUAGGCGCGAAGUCUAUCGAUGGAAAACUUUUAUUAUCAAUUAUUAACAAGAUUCCAAACAAAGUGGGAAGUAGGAGGACAUAUGGAAGACAGCAGGUGGCUGAGAGAGUGGGAAUAGACGCAGGGAUGAUAGGAAGCAGGGAAACAGGGCUUUAGCAGCAGGGGAGGCAGAGGGCACGGGAGUUUGGGAUUGUCUAAUAAAUCGAGUGAGUGACUCCACUCGUUUCUGCCUUUGGGACAAAUCUAGUUGCGCUCACCGGCGCAGCCGAGCAUCUGGGAAUUGUGGGUAAUGAGAGAUUAUUUUCCCCUGUAGUGUUUGCUCAUCAUCAUUGCCAGCCCCCCCAGCCUCCCGGGAAGCAGAGACACACACACACACACACACACACACACAAGCAGAAAGGAAUGGCGCUUACUUGCAGGUGCAUGUUACGCACACAUAACACACACAUCCGACACAUUGGCGCGCUGUUGCUUUCAUGGAUAAGGUCAAACUGCGAGGUUUUAUUGUUCAAAUCUGCUGCUGGCGCUAAUUUUGGAUGUCACACUCAGUGAGACACACACACACCAUUCGGUGGCUCCCUCUUUUAUCCACAGGUCCUUCAUGCCUCGGGAUGCCAAUCUGUCUGAUGGCAGGUCCAACGUGUAUCAAACCGGAACCCUCCUUCGCCCUUCCUCUGUCUCUUUUCUGCCUCAGCCGGUCCGUGGUCCUUCUUGCCCCGGAGCCAGGCUGCGGCCGCAAGAAGCGGGCUGGUGGUCCCAGCAGGGGCCGGGGCUCAGACACACCAUUUGCAUGAGGGAAUUAAAGUCAUUACAGCUGGAAGGGCAACGGAGGACGAGUCCUUCGCUCUGCUGAAGAGAGAGGAGGUUUGUGAAGUUGUGCGAGGGAAGUAACGGACUAAAUGAGGAGAUCUGUUCAUCUGGAUAGUUCAGAAAGGCGUCCAAUGUUCAGUAAAUGGAUGUUUAUACUUAAUAAAAAUAAUUAAACCUUG